CCUACGGGAGGCAGCAGUAGGGAAUCUUCCACAAUGGACGAAAGUCUGAUGGAGCAACGCCGCGUGAGUGAAGAAGGGUUUCGGCUCGUACAGCUCUGGUGGUAGUGAAGAAAGAUAGAGGUAGUAACUGGCCUUUAUUUGACGGUAAUUACUUAGAAAGUCACGGCUAACAACGUGCCAGCAGCCGCGGUCAUACGGAGGUGGCAAGCGUUGUCCGGAUUGAGUGGGCGGAAAGCGAGUGCAGGCGGUGCAAUAAGUCUGAUGUGAAAGCCGUCGGCUCAACCGGAGAAUUGCAUCAGAAACGGUUGAACUUGAGUGCAGAAGAGGAGGGUGGAGCUGCAUGUGUAGCGGUGGGAUGCGUAGGUGUAUGGAAGGACACCAGUGGCGAAGGCGGCUCUCUGGUCUGCAACGGACGCUGAGGCUCGAGAGCAUGGGUAGCGAACAGGAUUAGAUACCCCUGUAGUG
rnacentral:rRNA from 1 species